GAUGAACGCUAGCGGGAGGCCUAAUACAUGCAAGUCGAACGGGUGAAUUAGCUUCGGUUGGUUCACUAGUGGCGCACGGGUGAGUAACGCGUACGCAAUCUGCCCUAUGCUGGGGAAUAGCCCUGGGAAACUGGGAGUAAUACGCCAUAGUUCUACGGAUCCGCAUGGAUUUGUAGAUAAAGCUGCGGCGGCAUAGGAUGAGCGUGCGUCUGAUUAGGUAGUUGGUGAGGUAACGGCUCACCAAGCCGACGAUCAGUAAGGGGCGUGAGAGUGCGACCAGCCACACUGGAACUGAGACACGGUCCAGACUCCUACGGGAGGCAGCAGUAGGGAAUAUUGGACAAUGGGCGAAAGCCUGAUCCAGCCAUGCCGCGUGAUAGAUGAAGGCCCUCUGGGUUGUAAAUAUCUUUUAUCUGGGAAGAAACACUUCUAUUCUUAGAAGCUUGACGGUACCAGAGGAAUAAGCACCGGCUAACUCCGUG
rnacentral:rRNA from 1 species